CUUCCUUUUUCUUUGGGUGAUUUUCAAGGAGAAAAAUACCGCUGGGCUUCAAGGCUUACUGAAUUGCUCACGGGAGUGAGUGCUGGUAGAGUCCAGCAACGGGUCCAGGAGGCUGAGCUGGUGGCCAAUACCGUCUUUCUUGCUGAGACGCUUAGGUCAGGGCUCCAGAAAUGUUAACUCUUCAAAUGAAGUUCAGAGCCAAAACCAAAUUCUUCUUGGAGGAAAUACCAAAAUUUCUACUGGUGCCUCACAGCUGAAAAACAUGGAAAUGAAUAUAUGGCUGCUGGGUGUGUUCAGACUGGAAAUCCUCUGGAAAAAAGCAUGGUGGCCUCCUGCUGCCAUUGCCACUAAUGCUGCAGGGUGGAAGGGCCAUGCAAAUCAUUUCUGAACAGGAGAUGUGACAAAGUGGAAGCAAAAACGACAAGCAUUUUUGCGGAAACACUGCUUGAAAGCAUUUUAACAAUUCUUUUCUUUUUUAACAUCUUUUAAAAAAAAAAGCACAAAAAUUACUCAUUGGACUGACUUACAGAGAAGAAUGACUUGCAAAACACGGUCACACGCAGUCGUGAUAUUAGCAACCACCCCUUCAACACUACAGUUACGUAGGCAUUGAAUGCGAAAGGCAGAAGGCUAUGUUUGUAAAGGAAACCGAUUUUUCAUAGGUUACUCCCUCCACAGUGGGAGACCACAGACUGAGAAGAGCUGACUACCCUUCCGGUAGCAAUAAUGCAAUUAUGCUAUUCAUAGUGAGACAGAAAAACAUCGGCUGAUUUUCUUUGCAUCAUAAUCUGCUAACCUCAGAAUUAACCUUGCUGGACACAGAUCUGUUAACUUUUACCAUGCUUCUCCAAUUAGUCUGAGACAGAAAUAGCUACCCACAGCUGUUAUAAAUUGGUAUGUUCCCUGAUGAUGCUUGGUGCUACCUGCAGAAAAAAGUUUCUUGUUUUAUUCUGUGCCUUUUUUUUUUCUUCUUUUUUUACUGUUCUUAAUAUACUUUCAUUGCAAACUGAUGGUAUUAGACAGCUCUGCUUUGCUCUGCUUGCAGUGGAAGGCAGACAUGCUACUUGAGUGUGCUCUGUGACAGUAACUUCAUACCUGAUAUUUUUGUUUUAGGAAAAGGAAGGGCGGAGGGUACUCGCAGGGCUGUGUAGCUGUAAGUGCAUCAAGUUACAGCGGAGCAUGCAUUGCACUCCCAGCGCUAACAGGGAGCUGCAGAGCCUUAGGUGUCCUCUGCCCAGCCGGUAAUGAUGGAAAGAAAGGGACUGACUGACUUGAGGCCAACAACCUGAAACCACCUGCUCACAUGCAGUGACAACCAUGGUUUUCGUGUGUGCUCGGAAUGGAAAUCCCCAAAUCUGCAAACGGCAGAAAAACGGCAAAAUCCCCGAAUCUGCAAAGCCGCCUCUGCAAACUGUUUUAUAUAUGUACAAGCACAUGUAGAUCUUCAGAAACACAUUAACUGAGGCCUCUCUGAUCUUUCCCACACCUGUUCAGGACUCCUGAGGGCUGGUCAUCACUGCUGAAGGACAUUUAAGCACUGGUUGAAUGUCACAUCCACAAAGUAAAGAUUUCACACAUCUUUUUGAGCCUUGGUUGAAAAAUGAACUGAAUUACCAACAGUCAGAUUAUGUCCUUGGGACGUAAACAUGAUUACAGAAAACAAGUAUGGGAAGAUGUUUAAAGUGAGAACAGUGACAGUAAAAACCACACAAACUGCUGACUGGGUGGCAAAACCACUUCUAUGGUACAGCUGAAGCAGCCCAGACGCCAAGAUCAUCUGCACAGCCCUCGGCCAUGAGACAUCCAAGGCAUUUGCCCGCAACCUUCGUGGAGUACAAAACACCCAAACCUGUCCGUUCAUGAGGCCAAGCAGAAGCAGGUGCACUUUGGGAAGCUGCAUCAUUGCAGGGCACCUUGGGGUGGGAAACCCCCCCACCCCCCCCACCCCCAGAUCCAUGUACCCCACUCGCACAGCAGUGUCCUGUGCUGUCUGCAGGCUGGCGCAUGAUUGGGAGCCACCAGGCACACAGCUGCUUUGCCAGCCGGCACAGAACUGGCCACAAUCCUCCACCUGCAGCUGGGUCGGUGGGUAAUACUGUUGGGGCUUGGGUUUCUUUUCCAUAAUCUCCAGUGUUGCCUUUAUUUAGAACAAAUGAAAGCGCUGAGCGUCUCCAAAAGCUCCAAAUAGCUUGUGUUUUCUCACCUUAUGCCACUCGUGCCCUGCAUUACUCUUUUGUUUGCCUUCCCUUGCCCUGCAUCUAGAGGAGAGAUUACAAGUUGCACCAUCAGCAGCCAAGCAAGGUCUAAGCCACAGGGAAGGAUCUGAGUCAUCUCCCUGAGAGAAUAUUUUAGCCAUACAUCAUUGUUUGUUUACAGGCAAACCAGUACAAUUAUGCAACAUAAAUUCUUUUAAAGCAUUUGGGGCUUCAGUUCAAUUUAAAAUCCUGUAGGUUUUAUGGCCAGAAUGAGUGAUUACUAAGUAUGUGCAUACAAUUGAAGAUUUGGGAAGAAGCACGUGGGGAAGAUUAAAGGGCAUGUAGAGCCUCACGCACACACCGGGCAAACUCUGACCAGGCUGUAACAGAGGAUGGGAGAUCUCAAGAGCCCAUGUCAAAAGGUAGAAAACUAAGCCCCCCCCUUCAAGCACAAACUCCAUGCAACCCACUCCUGUGUGAGCAAGAAGCAAAGUCCAGGUAAGUAACCUCGAAAGCUGCAUCCACAUCCAAAGACCUCAGCACCUGCACCGAGAACCAGCAUGACUGCUCGGUGCCGAGUGUAACUGCUGGUCCUGGGGCUGGUGGGGCAGGUGGGGCAGGAGGCAAGCGGGAGAAAACACAGACCCAAGCCGUCCCCCCCGGCACCCAGCUCAGCCUCAGCACUCAUCAGUGCUGCCUGCUGCAGUGGAAAAUAUCCAUAGUUGUUAAAACAUUACCAGGAGCGGGAUGAAGGAAAUCAGUAACUCAGCGCUUGCAAAGAAAACCAAAUCGUCAACAAUAGAUUUUUUUAUCAUCAUCAUGAUGGCCACUACUAUUUAAUGACCCAGCACUCACUGUCAUGCUGUUAUGUGAGACUCAGCCACCACUGUACAAACACGUGGGCCUUGUGAACUGCAGACCCCAGUGAGAGAACCAGGAGCUAGAGAUGUAACAAGCAGAAAGCAGAGAAAAAGAUCCCAAAGCCUGGCUUAAUGUGCUUUCUUUAAAAUGUACUCUCAAUGAAGGCCUGGCAAAUAAAUCAUAGUUUACAAUGCCAGCUGCCUAUAUAUUUAUUUCUCCAGCUGUAUAAAGGAGUAGAGUUUACAGUAUUAUUUUUUUCUCUCUUUUUUAAGGGGAAUAUACAGACAGAUUUGUAUCUCCACAUUCAUGUUUUACUUACACAGAUGCAAACUCCACUAAAGCUGGGGGAAUUAUUGACAACCGAUACUGAGGCAAUCGAAGGCCAGACUCUGACCUAUUGAUUUCCUCGAGAUUGCACGGGACGUAUGUAGUUCAUUGCAGAAUACAGUCUUUGUUUGUUUUAUUACUCAAUAUAUAACAAUGUGGAAUAAAGAACAAUGCCGAACUGCACAAAUGCCUGAGGAUUUCUCUUUAAUUGAAAUCAGGACUGGGAACAUCCUUGUAAAUCAAAAGCAGUCAGUCUUUGAGAAAAUUCACUGCUUUUGCAAAGUUUACUUUCAAAUGGGAUUUAACUUUAACUCUUUGUCUCUCACACCAGCUCAGCUAAAUAAUUUUUAACGAUUUCUCUGAAGUGGCUACGUGCUAUCCAAUGGUCUGAACAAUACCAGGCACAACAGAUGCUGGGCAGGAUUUUCAUUUAUAUUACAGCUGUGAAUAGUAGUUGAGAAAAAUCAAAUACAUGUUAAUUAUUGGAGAUACUCCUCCUAUCGGUCCAAAUCUGUAUUUUUAAAAAGCUGGAUGCUCUUCUGAAUCAGGAUUUUGAUUCAGUUUAUUAAGAACCUAUGGGCUCUCCUUGUAAAAUUAUGACAUAGAUCUGUAUUUUACUUAAGUUUGAGGAUACUUUAGAUUAACUUUUAAUUCAGAGCCCUAUAACUGCAAUGCAGAGUGCAGGCAAACUCCACCAGCAGUUUGGCUCCAGCUCCAGCCCCCUCUGAGAGCGCUUCAGCCCCGAUAAAUGGGUGCCAACCACAGUGAGCAGAAGAAACAUCUAAACUCUGAUGUCCUAAUUAAAGUCCCCUCAUUUCCCACAUUGCUGCUCCCUGUGCGUUAUGAAACAUCCAAACAACAGUAUUUCUGCUUAGCUAAAGAUUUCACAAUGGGACUUUCCUUCUUCAGCUCUAUUUUUCCAAACUCACAUUUUCAGAGGCUCUCAUUUCAGUGCGUUUAUUGGAUUGAGAUUGCCUCGUAAUUUUUUAUAACAAAAGGGUUCAUCCUUCCAGCCUAUUGUAAAUGGGCAGCACACAAAGCUAAGUUAGCAGCAGCAGGCUGCAAGAGGAUCAGGCUAUUAAGAUUAAUGCAACAAAUUUAAAUUCUUCCAUGCCCUCCCUCCAGUAACCCAUCCGUGUGUGCGUGUGUGUGGCUGGGAAGGAAAAGAAAGGGCUCCUAUGCUACAGAUAAUAGCAAACGCUAGUGAAGAGGAAAAAGGAAAACACUGUUUAUCCCUAGCAGGAAGAUAAUUGAUCUAUAGUCUGCACACAACUGGUCUCAAAGCAGCCAGUAGCUACACAGAACAGACUGUAGCUAACCAGAGCCCAAACUAGCCUGUCAAACAAAAGCUUUAUAGGGACACCAGGGAGAACAAAAGUAGCACAUUUCAUUCCUUCAUAAUAAAUCUUCCAUCUUUAUUGCGCAGAGAUGUUUUGCUCCUGAGCACACCGUGUUUCGGAGCGGAGCCUGCCCCCUCCACCCCCACUGAAAUGCUUGAUGGUGACCCAGAGCAUCCAGCCUGAGCCGAGCUGCUUUUUCGGGCUUUGGGUUUUAUUUUUGCUGUGCACAGCCAGGCCCAGCUGUUCUCUGCAUCCUCAGACAGCAGCAGUUCUUGGGCUCCAGCUCUAUCACGCUCUAUUUUAUGUGAGCUAAAGGUAAUAAAAUAACCAUUUCUAAAUUUAACUAGCAUUACAUAAUGCAGCUAUUUAUUAUGUAAAGCUGCUGUUUACAAUGCCCAGAAUAUUGAUCGCUAUAAAAAAUGCAAUGCAGCUAGAGCUUGUAUAAAUUAAUGUUACUGUUUUCCUUUCUUUUUGUUUAAAGGAUCAAUCAAAGGUCUAAUUUGUUCUUGUGAAUUCACCUAUGCAAAGCACCAGGCAGUGCAUUGUUUACCGUCAUUCAGGCUCACGUGCAGCACUCAGAAUCUGGCAGAGGAUAUGUAAAGAUGACAAUUUGUUCAUUAUCCAAACUACUGGAAAAGGCAAAUAAAGCAUACUAACCUGCUUUAUUUCAAAUCAGGUCAAUUUUUUUUUUCCUCAGCUAUAAAGCAGCGUUGGCAACCACUUAAGAAUUCCAGCAUUAUGACUGUAUAUCAUCAUUAUCACCUACAGUAGAUUAUGAAUAGGUAUUUUCUUACAAUAGCACAUGAAGCCUGAGAAAAUGAAAGAUGUUUUCCUAUUCUUUAGGCCUUCUGGGGGUAGAAAGAGGGAUGGAAAAAGAGAAUUAAAUAUUAACAGAGUGAACAGAUCACUAAGCAAAAAAACAAUUAAAUAGCACAGCAUCCAUUCAACAAUAACACCAAAUCAUGAUGCAACUGCUGAGCGUGGGGUGACAUACUAAUCAUGGAUUAAAGGGACUGAUUUGUGUCUCAUGAGUAUUCAUGGGCAAAACCUGAUACGUGCAAACUGAUCUCGGGGAAAUAUGUUUUGUGGGAAACAUGAGGUUAUACUAGUGUCUGAGCAAAAUGAUGAUGACUUUUCUUGACUGUGCCUUAGGGACAAAGGAAAUAUUUACCUUUUUAUCUCCCACUGUCUUUUUUUGUGGAGUUGUUUUCCUCCUCUCUACAGAAUAAGACACAGGGUUUUUUUCCCAUCUACCUGCUCACCCUUGUACUUGCCUGUACAAAUACAGGUGAUCAUAAAAAAACACUCCCAUCACUUGAUGUCACCCAGGAAAUCAAAGGUUAGAAUGAAUCACGGCGCAUACCAUUGUGGGCAACAUUCCCCUAACGGCACCCAGUAGCCACUGGUUCUGAAGAUGAAUCACCCUAUAAACAGAGAAUGAGAUGGUAUAAAUCCAGCCCCAUACCAGCUGUGCUGUCAGCGAUUGCACAUGACUCACCACAUGGGAAAGAAGCCAUGGGACAGCAAAUAGAAAAAAGUCCUUCCUCGGUGGGAGCGUCUUUUCUGUACCACUAGAGUUGCCUGGCUCAGCUUCAGUGCAAAGGCUGCUGUUAGUCAUACAGUACCACACAACCUUUUUUCUUCCAGUUACCUCCAGCUUGGGAUGAAGGAAAAUUAAAAACACUAAUGGGCCUAAUUAUGGUGUCCUGGAGAAAUUUCCCUUAUAGACCAGAGAAGACCCCAAGAAACCAAUGAGUUCAAACAGUGCUGUAUAGAGAAAAGGUCAAAUAUGCUAAAUAGCUUUCUUACUCCACCAAAGUGAAGAUGGUCACACACCCCUUGUGGAAAGCCACAGAGCUCUGCAGCUCUUCCAGGAUCACUCCUGUCUCCGGCUCCUACUGCUCCUGGGCCUUGCAUCAUGGGACCACAAGCCUUCUGCUUGCCUCCAGCCACUGUCAAAGCCAUCUGGUAGCAGAUACAAGAGGAUCAGAGCUACCUAGGCCCUGCUAACUCCUGGGGUCAAGGACCAAUGUGCCUUCUCUGCUUUACUCCUCAUUCUCCACUCUCACGUUUCUUGCUCAGCAUCCACCUGCCUUUCCUUAGUCUCCUUUCAGCUCCAGGAAAGAAAAUCUUUAGUGGUGCCUGAGCACCAGCUAUUGCCGUGCAGGCAGGGGGCCAUGCGCUUUGUGCAAAAGACUCUUGGGAGAUGAUCCUUUGCAAUAUUUUCCACUAAACAACUACCCCAAAACAAGGAGGCCACUCAUGACUUCAGUGCCACUGGGGAGGCCAUUGCUGGGCAUCCUAAGGCAUCUGAUUUACGUAGCUCCAGCCCUGAUAGCACAGACUGGUUUCUUUUCCCCAUUUUACAGUUUGGAAAGUCCCCAAUUCUUCCAUCUACAUCCUCGUCUUUGCCGUCAAUCAAUGAUGUCAGUGAAGGACUGUUGGUUAAUAUUGAGAUUGCUCUUCUCAAUCACUUUCUGAGCAGUUGUCUUGCUUUCAGCACAGUGAAAAAUCCAGCAGUUAAGGCAGUACAUUUUUAUAAUCUUAAUGGAGCUCAUACUUUAAAGUUUAAAGGAGCUUAAACAGUGGGAAAGCCCUGUGGAAAAUCCAGUGCUUUCAUAUGCAAGUCAGGUUUUUGGUUGUGUGUUAGUUGUUGUUAUUUUCAGUAGCCGGUGUUUCAUUUCUGUUCAGAAGCAAAUGUAAAAAAGCAAGUGAGCAAUUUAUAAUGAAAUAAUCAAUGCCGGUGGUGAAUUCUCACUUAGCCUUGCCUAUGAUCAGAAAUUUCUCUUGGGGGCAGCAUUUCUUACAGAGAUGGAUGGAUUUAUUUUCCAUCUUCAAAAUGUUUACUAGCACAUCUAGAUCUCCUGCUUCAGCCGUACUGCUGGUUGAGGGCCAAGAGCUCCCCCCCUAAUGCCAGCAGGGGAGAGCAGAGGCAUCGCAAAGUGGAACAGCAACCUGAAGACAACACAAAGGCAGGCCACUGUCUCUUUCCCUUCCCCUGAAACCCCCCACUUAGCAGCUCUGGGUGGAGCAUUCACGAGAAACUUGCAGUUUACCCAGCCUACCCUCCAUGGGGCUUGAGAGCCCCUCCAUCCCUCCAGGGUGGGCUUCACGGAAGCACCAAAGCUCAGGCUGCUUGUAGUGACACCAGGCACCAGGGGAUAACUAAUGCUGGUGACUGUCUGAAGCUCUGUCCUCACUGUAAGAUGAAGCAUGUGGAGCUGACUUCAGGCUGCUGAAAGCCCUAAGUCACCUAACAUCUGCCCACACUGCCUUGCCUCCUGCCCUACGCCUUAAGGGGCUUGCUUUAAUGGUGUGGGAGACAGACAAGUCUGCUGGUGAGUAAGUAGGCUGGGGACUACGCCAAGGUGACGGAGAAAAUGUAGCCAAGUCAUGCUCUGUGUAGUUCGGAUGCAAGAGGCUGCCCCACACACACGCCAGGAGGUUGCAGAGCUCUAAAUGUUUAAUUGCUUUCCCCACAUCAGUCUCAGUAGGUGAAUGAAACCCUGCAAGGUGGAUGGGAGAAGCAGAUGCAGUGUUUGCUUAUGCUCAGGACUACAGGCUCUCAAACCCUGCUGCGUUCUCAGGAGCAUGCAUCCAAACUAGGUGAAAAUAUAGCUGAGGAUAGCUAAUUAACUGUGUGGUUGUUAGCAGUCCGUGAGGACUCAACUUCACCUGUCAACUAAACAUGAAGAAUGCGGCUGAGGUUCAACAUCUUGAAAAGAAAGUGUUGAUGAGCAAAAGACUGAAGAAACCAAGCAGCACAUUGUGAGAGAUGGAAGUAAGAGCAGAAGGGUGUUCCUGCAGGGAAUAGUCCCAUAAACCUGGAUGAUUACACAGCACAAAAUAAACUGAGGAGCUCUGCAUCAAUGAAACUUCACAAAACUUGCCAGGCAGGAUGUCAGGAGUUCAGUAUUUAUCAACAAAGCCAUGGAGACAGUUGUACUUACAGCUAGG